rnacentral:rRNA from 1 species
GAUGAACGCUGGCGGCGUGCCUAAUACAUGCAAGUCGAGCGAACUGAUUAGAAGCUUGCUUCUAUGACGUUAGCGGCGGACGGGUGAGUAACACGUGGGCAACCUGCCUGUAAGACUGGGAUAACUUCGGGAAACCGAAGCUAAUACCGGAUAGGAUCUUCUCCUUCAUGGGAGAUGAUUGAAAGAUGGUUUCGGCUAUCACUUACAGAUGGGCCCGCGGUGCAUUAGCUAGUUGGUGAGGUAACGGCUCACCAAGGCAACGAUGCAUAGCCGACCUGAGAGGGUGAUCGGCCACACUGGGACUGAGACACGGCCCAGACUCCUACGGGAGGCAGCAGUAGGGAAUCUUCCGCAAUGGACGAAAGUCUGACGGAGCAACGCCGCGUGAGUGAUGAAGGCUUUCGGGUCGUAAAACUCUGUUGUUAGGGAAGAACAAGUACGAGAGUAACUGCUCGUACCUUGACGGUACCUAACCAGAAAGCCAAGGCUAACUACGUGCCAGCAGCCGCGGUAA